CUUUUUCCAAGAACACCUACCUUGGCUCUUCUGUGAUGCUUUGCACAAAUGCCUUUCUUCUGACCAGAAUGCACCUGAGAAGUGUGACUGGAUGUUUAGUAUCUUUUUCAAUUUAGAUUUAAAAUCCAAUGGGAAUAGACUGGGAGAACUUUCUAGCUCUAAAACCCGUACAACCAAACCCAAACUCUUGAUGAGUUGCUGGCAGCCACUCUAGGUGAAUACACAAGACAUCUCUAUUGUGGACCCAUUCCGCUUCAUCACUCCUAGAAAAAGCACCAGAUAUAUAUUGGAAUACUGAAGUUUCAAGAUACUGCACUGCAUGAAGUGUGCAGUUUUAUUAUCUCUUUAAGAAAGCGGAGUCUAUAAUGUGUGAUGUUUGUGUUCUGUUCUGAGGAAACGGAGCAAGGAUGUGAUGAGGAAAAAAAGUGGAAGGCGAGAGAAGCAGUGAGCUAAAAACUCAAGCACCUCCUCCCGCAGUGAUUGUAGCAUCAUCAUGUCUCCUAACUACUGCAAUUAGAGGAAGGCAAGGAAAGCAUCAUGGUUUCUGCAAACACCUGAGGCAGCUGUCCUAUUGCUUGACAUUACUGAUGGCAAUGACACAGACAAGUUUGGCGACUUUCACACUCAGCUCCCCAGUUCUAUAAUGCACUUGUUGGCAGAACUCAAAGCCCUUUGGAAAGGAGUACUGAAGCAUUCUCUGGGCCGCAAUAACAUGGAAAGUGGAGGACGUGAGUUUACACCCUCUUGUGAAAAGAAAAAUAACCAAAUUUUCUUAAAAU
rnacentral:lncRNA from 1 species